CCGAAGGCGGGGGCGCCCAGUUGGUCCAGCGGAAAAAGGCCACAAAAACGGGUGGGCUAUAGCCUUGGGGGGUGGGGCUGGCCCACUUCGUGCGCCGGACUCGGAAUGCCGCGGGACUUUGCGAGGGGCCUCCGUGUGCCAAAAAUAGGCCGCGGCCAAAGCCACGCCCAAAAAUAACCACCCGAAGGCCGGGGCGCCAAGUUCGUCCAGCGGAACAAGGCCACAAAGACGGGUGGGCUAUAGCCUUGGGGGGUGGGGCUGGCCCACUUCGUCCGCCAGACUCGGAAUUCCGCGAGACUUUGCGAGGGGCCUCCGUGUGCCAAAAAUAGGCCGCGGGCACAGCCGCGUCCAAAAAUAACCUCCCGAAGGCCGGGGCGCCAAGUUCGUCCAACGGAAAAAGCCCACAAAAACGGGUGGGCUAUAGCCUUGGGGUGUGGGGCUGGCCAACUACGUCCGCCGGACUCGGAAUGGCGCGAGACUUUGCGAGGCACCUCCGUGUGCCAAAAAUAGGCUGCGGGCACAGUCGCGACCAAAAAUAACCUCCCGAAGGCCGGGGCGCCAAGUUCGUCCAGCGGAAAAAGCCCACAAAAACGGGUGGGCUAUAGCCUUGGGGGGUGGGGCUGGCCAAUUUCGUCCGCCUGACUCGGAAUUGCGCGAGACCUUGCGAGGCACCUCCGUGUGCCAAAAAUAGGCCGCGGGCACAGCCGCGUCCAAAAAUAACCACCCGAAGGCCGGGGCGCCAAGUUCGUCCAGCAGAAAAAGGCCACAAAAACGGGUGGGCUAUAGGCAUGGGGGGUGGGGAUGGCCAACUUCGUCCGCCGGACUCGGAAUUACGCGAGACUUUGCGAGGCGCCUCCGUGUGCCAAAAAUAAGCCACGGGCAAAUCGGCGGCCAAAAAUAACUGCCCGAAGGCCAAGGGGCCAAGUUCGUCCAGCGGAAAAAGGCCACAAAAACGGGUGGGCUAUAGCCUUGGGGGGUGGGGCUGGCCAACU
rnacentral:lncRNA from 1 species